rnacentral:lncRNA from 1 species
GCAGUGGACACUUUUUAGGCCCACAGCACAAUAAUGAGAUGGAUUCCAACUAAUGAAGAGGAAUGAAUUUUGCUGAACAUCCUACUGUGGACACCUAUAUCAAAUUUGAGUUUCUUCUCUGAGCUUUUAACAUAAACAGUGAUGUUCAGGUUGAUUUUGUACUUCUUGCCAGGUAUCUGAAAUGUAUUGAUAACUAAAAUUACUCAUUAAAAAAAAAAAAGCGCUAUCUUCAAAAGAGAGGAGCCUUGCACAGAUAAGGUCCUGCAGAGAGGAUACUCAAUACACAGUCUCUGUGGAGAGUGAUCCCAGGAUAGCCCAGGUGCUCUGUACUGCCACAUCACCACCAUAGGGAUGACAGUAACAGCCUUUUAUUAUAGCAUGAUGACACUAUGGCUUGGAGAGUUUAAACAACUUCCUAAAGCCCCAAAGUAUAUUUACUAUCAUGAGAGGCCACCUUUGAGCCCACAUAACUCAACCCUUUCUUUCUGAACUUCUUCUAAACUUUAGCCAAAUGGUGAUUUUUAUGACCCAAAUUCUAUUUCAUUAUAUCUUAGAAAUAUAUUGGGUCAGGUAAAACCAAAAUUUCUGCUUGGCCAAAAACAUUUUGGAUAAAGCCUCCAUGCAUGCCACACUAGUAAGCAUAUACCAGACUUCAGUAUUUCCCAAAGCAAAUCUCAUAAGUGUCAUCAAUUUUUGUAACAGAAGCUGCUCCUUUUCUUUACCUGCUACACAUGAGAAACAAUUUUUCUCUGGUGAGUGUUUAUCUUAAAAGGUUUUGAGCAUGCUGAAUGAGAGUUUAGCCUUUUUUUAGAAGAGUCAUGGCACUGAAUUCCCUAAAACCACAUACUUGUGAAAGGGAACGAGAAACAGUUUAUUUGGUCAGGUCAAGAUACCAGGGCUUUAAAUAUUUUAGGUUUUAUCUGAGACAAAAGGCAUUUGACCACCUGUUGUUCCCCCGCCUUAGAAGUCAAAGCAAAGAUUGAUGAGGAAAAAAGUCAGAGGAGCAGAAUUCAGAAUUUAAGUGUGUGUGUGCAUGCUUGUAUGCCUGUAUGUGGUAUGUGUGGGAAUGAGCUUACCUUAGAGUAUAAAGUGUUUCUUCAUCUUCAGAAAUAUUUUUACACAGG